CCUACGGGAGGCAGCAGUGGGGAAUAUUGGACAAUGGGCGCAAGCCUGAUCCAGCAAUGCCGCGUGUGUGAAGAAGGCCUUCGGGUUGUAAAGCACUUUAAGCAGGGAAGAAAACCCUUUGCCUAAUACGCAGAGGUUUGACGGUACCUGAAGAAUAAGCACCGGCUAACUCUGUGCCAGCAGCCGCGGUAAUACAGAGGGUGCAAGCGUUAAUCGGAUUUACUGGGCGUAAAGCGUGUGUAGGUGGCUGAACAAGUCGGUUGUGAAAUCCCUGGGCUUAACCUGGGAACUGCUUCCGAGACUGUUCGGCUAGAGUACGGUAGAGGGCGGUGGAAUUUCCGGUGUAGCGGUGAAAUGCGUAGAUAUCGGAAGGAACACCAAUGGCGAAGGCAGCCGCCUGGGCCUGUACUGACACUGAGACACGAAAGCGUGGGGAUCAA
rnacentral:rRNA from 1 species